rnacentral:rRNA from 1 species
GACGAACGCUGGCGGCGUGCCUAAUACAUGCAAGUAGAACGCUGAAGGAGGAGCUUGCUCUUCUUGGAUGAGUUGCGAACGGGUGAGUAACGCGUAGGUAACCUGCCUGGUAGCGGGGGAUAACUAUUGGAAACGAUAGCUAAUACCGCAUAAUAGUAGAUGUUGCAUGACAUUUGCUUAAAAGGUGCAAUUGCAUCACUACCAGAUGGACCUGCGUUGUAUUAGCUAGUUGGUGAGGUAACGGCUCACCAAGGCAACGAUACAUAGCCGACCUGAGAGGGUGAUCGGCCACACUGGGACUGAGACACGGCCCAGACUCCUACGGGAGGCAGCAGUAGGGAAUCUUCGGCAAUGGACGGAAGUCUGACCGAGCAACGCCGCGUGAGUGAAGAAGGUUGUCGGAUCGUAAAGCUCUGUUGUAAGAGAAGAACGAGUGUGAGAGUGGAAAGUUCACACUGUGACGGUAUCUUACCAGAAAGGGACGGCUAACUACGUG